AACGAACGCUGGCGGCAGGCUUAACACAUGCAAGUCGAACGAGAUCUUCGGAUCUAGUGGCAGACGGGUGAGGAACACGUGGGAACAUCCCUUUCAGUUCGGAAUAACGUUGGGAAACUAACGCUAAUACUGGAUACGUCCUUCGGGAGAAAGAUUUAUCGCUGAAAGAUUGGCCCGCGUCUGAUUAGCUAGUUGGUGGGGUAAUGGCUCACCAAGGCUACGACCCGUAGCUGAUCUGAGAGGAUGAUCAGCCACAUUGGGACUGAGACACGGCCCAACCUCCUACGGGAGGCAGCCGUGGGGAAUAUUGGACAAUGGGCGAAAGCCUGAUCCAGCCAUGCCGCGUGAGUGAUGACGGCCUUCGGGUUGUAAGGCUCUUUUGUCCGGGAAGAUAAUGACUGUCCCGGAAGAAUAAGCCCCGGCAGACUUCGUGCCAGCAGCCGCCGUAA
rnacentral:rRNA from 1 species